AAAUGGGAAAAAGUUACAAUUAGUCGCGUGUUCCAUCCAAUCCAUCACCAUCUACCUCACAAGAAUAGCAUAUGGGCUCUGUAACCCAGCAAGCAGUCCUUAGAUUGCCACCGGGCUUCCGAUUUCAUCCCACUGAUGAAGAGCUAGUGGUGCAGUACCUCCGGCGGAAGGCCCUAUCCUUCCCGCUGCCGGCGUCCAUCAUCCCGGACAUCGACAUCAGCAAAU
rnacentral:misc_RNA from 1 species